rnacentral:lncRNA from 1 species
GCUAAGCAAACACUUUACCAACUGAAAGACAUCCCCAGUCCUAAACCCAGUUCUUUUUUUUUUUUUUUUAAAAGAUUUAUUUAUUUAUUUAUUUAUUUAUUUAUUUAUUAUAUGUAAGUAUACUGUAGCUGUCUUCAGACACUCCAGAAGAGGGAGUCAGAUCUCGUUACGGAUGGUUGUGGAUGGUUGUGAGCCACCAUGUGGUUGCUGGGAUUCGAACUCCGGACCUUUGGAAGAGCAGUUGGGUGCUCUUACCCACUGAGCCAUCUCACCAGCCCCUAAACUCAGUUCUUUGCUAAAGAAAAUCACAUUUGUUUUUUUUAUUGUGUGUGGAGGUGUACACACACACACACACACACACACACACCCCAGAGUGUGUAUGUGGACAUAGAGGACAACUUGCAGGAGUCAGAGCUCUCCUUCCACUACAUGAGCCUGGGAAUCAAAGUUAGGUCCUCAGGCUUGGCAGCAGGUGCCUUAAUCUGAUGAGUCAUUUCCCUGGACCCAAACUCAGUUCUUUAUUUAGCCUUUGUAUUAGGGCAGCCCUGGACCUGUCCUGUCUCCAAAGAUGAAAGAGCAUUUCUGGUAUGGGCCAGACUGGGAGCAUGAACAGUUAUGAUUGAUUAAUAAUGGCUUUAAUUUGCUUUGAGGAAGAAAAGUGUAACUAGCCCACUGGAUGAAGAGAGAUAGUAUCUCUAGCACUCCUCUGUAUCAAGUAUUUGGUGUUCUGUGCCUGCAUAGCACUUGUCUUUUCAAGAGCUGGGGUCAUUGACAGCACGCUUCUUGAGUUUCAGAACAUAGUGGAGUGCAUGUUUGAAGUCAGAAAUGUAAUUUUCCCUAAGUAUAGUAAGAUUCACCGUAGUUCUCCGUACAUGCAUGCACAUGCUCACGCAAUUGUGGGCUUUUAUUCUGGCUCGGCUCCUUGAGGAGCUGAGGCCCUCCCUUUUGCUUCCAUUGAUUCUUGAUUGCACACUUUUCAGAGUUACCUUUGUUAGGCAGCAGCUGUGGGAAGAAUGUGUGCUUAUUUUGUAUCUGUGACCUUUACUCCUGCAGUCCCUCUGACCUGAGACUCACCCUGCCUGCCACCUCCUCUUCCUCAGCCCCAGCUUUGUUCUUCUGGGCCUCAUGUGCACACUCCCAUAAAAAGGACCUCCUUGCUUCUUUCUGUCUCAGCUUAGAAAUGAUUUCAGCUAAGGAUGUUCCAGGCUUGUUGGAGGAUAAGAAGUGAAUUAGAAUAAGGAGGAAGAAAGGGAUUUAUUUAGGAGGCAGUUAGACAACUUAUGUCUUCUCUUACAGUUUCAGGCACUUUGGAAUUAUAUUUGAUGUCAGCUUGUUGACCUCUGACUCCUCUUACCUGUUGUCUGUGCUUUCUUGCUGCUCUUCCUUCUAGCCCCCGCCUCCAGCCCCCAUUACGUAGAUACACACUCUUUGUACUGCCUUUUAAUUCUUUUUAUUAGAGCUGGAGAGAUGGAAGGUUAAACGUGUACUGUUCUUGCAGAGGACCCAAGUUGGGUUCCCAGUACCUUUGUAGUGUGGCUCACAAAAGAGAUCCAAUGCUUUGGACCUCUCACGUGCGCACGCACGCUCACAUACACACACACAUGUACAAAAUUUAAAAGAUUUUGUGUGUGUGAGUGUAAGUUCUGGUGUACAUGCCAUGGUGUGGUUGUGGAGGUCCAAGGACAACAUCCAGGAGUUGGUUUUCUCUACUGUGUGUGCCCUGAGGAUUGAACUUCUGUCCUCAGACUAGCAUGGCAAGCACUUUUCCUUGCUGAGCCAUGUUGUUAGUCCUUUUAGAAGUCUUUUUGAUUCGUUCUCAUAACAGCAGCUCCUAAUCAUGGUUGUCUGCUUUGGGGCAGAUGAAAACCCAUCCUUUUUCCUGGUAGCACCCUGACAUCCUGAAGGAAAAGGAGGGCUCAGAUCCUUCUGCGUACCAUACACAUUCUGUUUACACUCACGUUUACAGGUGGCUAUGGUAAGACCUGUAGUACUGAGUACUCGAAAUGUGCUCAACACUGUGACAAGCACUUUACAUAGAGUAUUUCUUAUUCCAUCGCUCUCAAUAAAGUUUAUGAACUAUCACUGUCUUUAGUCUAUAGAUGAGGAAGUUGAUACUCAGAGAGUUUUAAUAACAUGCCAUUAUGUAUGUAGCUUGAAUCAAACAGCAGCAAUCAAGAUUCAAACCAGGCAGCCUGUGCCAGGGACCAGGUCCAAUUGCUCAAGGAAAGGCUGUGAGCUUACAGCCAGAAUAGCUGGCCUCAUGGCAGCUUUCUAACUGGGAAAAUUUCCCUCUUGCAUCAACAGCCUAAAACACUUACUGUCUUCAUAUUUUCAGCUCUCUAAGAGGAGUGUUUUGGGUUGUUUUCCAGUGAUGGAAACUGCAUGAUUUAAAGCACU